GCAGUCGAGCGAACUGAUUAGAAGCUUGCUUCUAUGACGUUAGCGGCGGACGGGUGAGUAACACGUGGGCAACCUGCCUGUAAGACUGGGAUAACUUCGGGAAACCGAAGCUAAUACCGGAUAGGAUCUUCUCCUUCAUGGGAGAUGAUUGAAAGAUGGUUUCGGCUAUCACUUACAGAUGGGCCCGCGGUGCAUUAGCUAGUUGGUGAGGUAACGGCUCACCAAGGCAACGAUGCAUAGCCGACCUGAGAGGGUGAUCGGCCACACUGGGACUGAGACACGGCCCAGACUCCUACGGGAGGCAGCAGUAGGGAAUCUUCCGCAAUGGACGAAAGUCUGACGGAGCAACGCCGCGUGAGUGAUGAAGGCUUUCGGGUCGUAAAACUCUGUUGUUAGGGAAGAACAAGUACGAGAGUAACUGCUCGUACCUUGACGGUACCUAACCAGAAAGCCACGGCUAACUACGUGCCAGCAGCCGCGGUAAUACGUAGGUGGCAAGCGUUAUCCGGAAUUAUUGGGCGUAAAGCGCGCGCAGGCGGUUUCUUAAGUCUGAUGUGAAAGCCCACGGCUCAACCGUGGAGGGUCAUUGGAAACUGGGGAACUUGAGUGCAGAAGAGAAAAGCGGAAUUCCAC
rnacentral:rRNA from 2 species